UACGAAGGGGGCUAGCGUUGUUCGGAAUCACUGGGCGUAAAGCGCACGUAGGCGGCUUUGUAAGUCAGGGGUGAAAUCCCAGAGCUCAACUCUGGAACUGCCUUUGAUACUGGGUAUCUCGAGUAUGGAAGAGGUGAGUGGAAUUCCGAGUGUAGAGGUGAAAUUCGUAGAUAUUCGGAGGAACACCAGUGGCGAAGGCGGCUCACUGGUCCAUUACUGACGCUGAGGUGCGAAAGCGUGGGGAGCAAACAGG
rnacentral:rRNA from 1 species